AAUAUACUUCUCAUUGUGUUGCUCCAAAUCAGACUGCCUUACCGGUUUUCAGCACUGUCCUCCUACGCGGGAAUCACCCAGGAGGUGUGGGGCAGGACAUCUGCCAUAUGAGGGUCUUACGACCUACUCUCAGGAGAGGCACUUAUUGAGCACCCGCUGUGAGAAGUACUGUGCCAUUUGCUGUGAGACUUGCCAAGAUUUCUAAAAGCUCAGAAUAUAGCAUGUCGAAGACGUCCAGUAGAUGCUUGAAGAAUGAAUGAAUGAAGUAUUUUCUGCACACCACCGCCAAUGUAUUACUCUCUGGGGUGAAUAAAUAUUUACUAGCAUCCUAUCAGGUUAAGGGUUAGAUGCUUUCAAGUAGAUUUCUUAACUUGCAAAACAUCAUGGUAAAGAUAAAAGAGAGGGCCUGUGUUUUCUCUGUUUCUUACCAUACCAAGUCUAGGUGCCUAUUCCUGAUUUUCAAAACUACCCAUGGUC